ensembl:lncRNA
UUAGUAGUGUUCACACACCUCCUCUCUCUCUCUCUCUCUGCAAAUGUCCUUCCUAACAGCAUCCGUGCAGGGACAAUGGACGAAAUAGAAGAGAAAAGGGACAAAGGCGGCAGCCACGGCAUUUACGCUGGGUGGACUGGCGGAGGGAAAGGGAGGAUUUGUUUAGUGCAAACUGAUGUAUGUAGCGUGGAUGCCAUUUUGUUCUUGAUUUGGUUACAGGUGACAGCCACCAUGAGAGUCAUGACAAAUAGGCAACCCCCGCUGGUGCUACACACCACACACACACACACACACACACACACACACAGUAUGAAAGAACAACUGGAAUACGGAGACUCGUCCCAUAUCACUUCCUCGGCCGCUGCGUCCCUCGACCCUCUGCAUCACCUCGUCUAUCUUUAUCCCUCCUUCUGCAAGCUGCCGGUGUCAUCUAUCGGCUCACACUUCCAAAGCAGAGGAAUCCAUUCCGGACUCUGUCAAAGGGCCUUGUUGGGGCAAAGUGAGGGGUCUCAGUGGGAAUCGUGUGUCUCUGUGUAUUCCACCCUGGUGCAUGCACGGCCCGUGUGUCAGUGUGGAGUGACUUAGGCUUGGGUGGGCUUUUGGCCGAGUCGCCAGUUUAAAACACGAGCAUCCGCUUUAGAAAAUAGCUGGUUCUGCGAUACAAACGGAACCAAUAGAAAUAUCCCCUCGAACGUAUGAAGAGAACUCAGAUGGCUCUCAAUAUGUCACAAAGAAACGAGCUGCAAAUAUGCUUUGUAUAAAUCUCCAUCAGCUUGCAAACCGUUUGCCUUUUUAAACAUCCGGCACAAACAGAGCAACAUUAGCAUUCAUAGUCAUGAUUUUUACUUUUAGACAAACAUUACACCCAGUAAUUUAAUCCAAGGUUGAUAAAAAUGAAUAUCUGUUAGUGCAGCUACAAGUUAUCCAAGAGACUACAAUGUCAACGAGCUCUACGUCCCAACGCUAAGCUAACAGGCUAACCGCCGCCUUCAUCCACUUCUCCCCCAUGUGGUUAUCUGAGCACCGGCGGUCAGACAGGGAGGCAACAUCUUCCCGUGGUCGGCCGCUCCCAACCAGUAGGCAACG